CCUACGGGUGGCAGCAGUGGGGAAUUUUGCGCAAUGCUCGUAAGCGUGACGCAGCGACGCCGCGUGAAUGACGAAGGCCUUCGGGUCGUAAAGUUCUUUCGACAGGGAAGAAAAUGCCUAUAAGUAACUGUGUAUGUAUUGACGGUACCUGUAUAAGCAGCCACGGCUAACUCCGUGCCAGCAGCCGCGGUAAUACGUAGGGGGCGAGCGUUGUUCGGAGUGACUGGGCGUAAAGAGCACGUAGGCGGUGUUGUAAGUCAUGAGUCAAAGACUAGAGCUCAACUUUAGUAAGGCUAGGGAUACGAUAAGACUAGGGUAUCAGAGAGGAGUGGAGAAUUCAUGGGGUAGCGGUGAA
rnacentral:rRNA from 1 species